rnacentral:rRNA from 1 species
UGGGGAAUUUUGGACAAUGGGCGAAAGCCUGAUCCAGCAAUACCGCGUGCAGGAAGAAGGCCCUCGGGUUGUAAACUGCUUUUGUACGGAACGAAACGGCGCGCUCUAAUAAAGUGCGCUAAUGACGGUACCGUAAGAAUAAGCACCGGCUAACUACGUGCCAGCAGCCGCGGUAAUACGUAGGGUGCAAGCGUUAAUCGGAAUUACUGGGCGUAAAGCGUGCGCAGGCGGUUAUGUAAGACAAAGGUGAAAUCCCCGGGCUCAACCUGGGAACUGCCUUUGUGACUGCAUAGCUAGAGUACGGUAGAGGGGGAUGGAAUUCCGCGUGUAGCAGUGAAAUGCGUAGAUAUGCGGAGGAACACCGAUGGCGAAGGCAGCCCCCUGGACCUGUACUGACGCUCAUGCACGAAAGCGUGGGGAGCAAACAGGAUUAGAUACCCUGGUAGUCCACGCCCUAAACGAUGUCAACUGGUUGUUGGGAAUUUACUUUCUCAGUAACGAAGCUAACGCGUGAAGUUGACCGCCUGGGGGAGUACGGCCGCAAGGUUG